rnacentral:rRNA from 1 species
GAUGAACGCUGGCGGCGUGCCUAACACAUGCAAGUCGAACGAAGAACUUUUAAAGUAAUUUUCGAAAUACUUUAAGGGUUUCUAGUGGCAGACGGCUGAGUAAUACAUUGGUACCUACCCCAAAGUGGGGGAUAGCUCAUCGAAAGAUGGGGUAAUCCCGCAUGUGACCGUAAGGUUAAAGCUUUUUGCGCUUUGGGAAGGGCCUUUGUCCUAUCAGUUUGUUGGUGAGGUAAUGGCUCACCAAGACUAUGACGGGUAGCUGGAUCGAGAGGUUGACCAGCCAGACUGGGACUGAGACACGGCCCAGACUCCUACGGGAGGCAG